CCCGCCACUAUGCAAGUCUAUGAAAGUGACUGUGUAUAAUCCAGUGGAGGCUUAUAGUGACCCAGCUCUAGGAAACAGGACUGCCCUGUAAACUAAUGGGCAACUCUGUGCCGAAAGGUCUGGAACAAAC